AUCGCUUCUCGGCCUUUUGGCUAAGAUCAAGUGUAGUAUCUGCUCUUAUCAGUUUAAUAUCUGAUAUGUCCUCUAUCCAAUAAAUGUUUUGUUCCAAAAAAUAUAUAUACAAAAAAACCCUUC
rnacentral:snRNA from 1 species